UGAAGAAAUAACACUCGAAACAGAAGAGAAAGGAAAGAUUGAAGGGAAACGAAGUUAUGGGAGCUAAUAAGAAUGUUUUGAAAACAUAUCGUGAAGUUUCUUUGCAUAAUUCUCCAGAUGAUUGUUGGGUAAUUAUCAAUGCUAAGGAUUCGGGGAAGGAUCGCACCCCAAGAGGGUGUGAUGUAGACAGUCUAUCCUAAUGCAAAUAUUAGUGGCUGCUUCCACGGCUCGAACUCGUGACUUAUAAGUCACACGGAGACAACUUUGUCGUUGCUCUAAGGCUCCCUUCUAUAUGGCUUAUUAUAGCAAAAUUCUGAUAUGAUUACAUUUUUUAUAAUAAAUUUGUAUGUUCGGAAAUCACGUAAAAGUGUUAUGAUAUGCAGCUAUACAUUUUGAAAUGUUUUACUAUGGAUAUAACUAAAGUAAUUUGAUUA